AUAUCCAUACCCGCUCAUGGACACCUAUGUUAACGAAGGGCAAGCUGUAAAUAUCGAGUUUAGGUCGGAAGCAUGGCCGGGCUGCGAAGAGUUUUCCAAGUACUGGGAAGUAGAUGAAUCCUCAUCGGCUUUAGAGGAGCCUGCUAUUCUGACCGGUGGUAAGAAGCGGGAACGAAACAGCUGGUUUAGAAUUGAGAGAGAAGAAAAAUUUGUAGGAGGAAAUGCUUACAAAUUGACCACCUUAGCCGGGACCAUUGGAACCGUCCCAGGGCCUUGGGAAAAUGCACCACAACUAGUUCUCACCAAUGAUACUGCUAAGACCUUCCUCGUCAAAUUCCACAAAGUACAUGGUGAUACUACAUCUACUUCACGUCUGGAGAAGUUAGGUC
rnacentral:lncRNA from 1 species